CAAAGGGGCCGCAGGUAGCGGCAGGUAAACAAAGGGGCGACAGGUAGCUGCAGGUAAACAAAGGGGCGGCAGGUAGCUGCAGGUAAACAAAGGGGCGGCAGGUAGCUGCAGGUAAACAAAGGGGCGGAAGGUAGCGGCAGGUAAACAAAGGGGCGGCAGGUAGCUGCAGGUAAACAAAGGGGCGGAAGGUAGCGGCAGGUAAACAAAGUGGCGGCAGGUAGCUGCAGGUAAACAAAGGGGCGGCAGGUAGCUGCAGCUAAACAAAGGGGCGGCAGGUAGCGGCAGGUAAACAAAGGGGCGGCAGGUAGCUGCAGGUAAACAAAGGGGCGGCAGGUAGCUGCAGGUAAACAAAGGGGCGGCAGGUAGCUGCAGGUAAACAAAGGGGCGGCAGGUAGCAAAGUGGUUAGAUCGUUGGGCCAGGAACUUAAAGGUUGCUAGAUUGAGUCCCUGAGCUGACAAGGUAGAAAUCUGUCGUUCUGCCCCUGAACAAGGCAAGAUGGCUUGUUCCUAGGCCGUCAUUGUAAAUAAGAAUUAGUUCUUAACUGACUUGCCUAGUUAAAUAAAAAUAUCCUAGACGCAUGAAAAGGGGAAUGUAUGUGGACGGUAUGGGUCAACAGAAGAUGAACAGCAGAAUAUAGAUGUUGUGGUGGCAGUUAGAGGACGUCCUCCGGAAGUUGUCACAAUUACUGUGUAAGUCUAUGGAAGGGGGUGAGAACCAUGAGCCUCCCAGAUUUUGUAUUGAAGUCAGUGUACCCAGAGGACGACGGAAGCUAGCUUUCCUCCGGCUACACCAUGGUGCUACCGUAUAGAGUGCUGUUGAGGCUACUGUAGACCUUCAUUGCAAAACAAUGCGUUUUAAUCAAUUAUUUGGUGACGUAUAUUUAGUAUAGUUUUAUUGAAAUAAGACAACUUUUUAAAUGGGGGGAGGGGGGUGUUGCGACUGAGCACUGCAGCAGGCAGCGGAGUCACUUGAGUGAGGGAAGACAGAACAGCAUGCUUGCACGUUGUGACAACUUUUUACCAGUUGUUGGUAGGCUAUGUAAAUUGUCAUUAUGGAGACACAUAUUUCCAACUCUUUUUCCAUAAAACAUAGGCUAACAUACUAGAACUGACAUGCAUCAAGAAAUAACCGGAAGACAACAGGAAAACGACAUUAGGCGCUCUAGAUUGCAUGAGAUAAAUUAGCUCUGAGGUAGUUUAAACUGCAUUCUAAUGUGGACUACUUAUAGAAAAAAGGGUCUUACGCAUGCUCAUGUCUUGGGUCUCGAGCGCAGCACGAGUGAAAACUUGAAAUGGAAGUUAUAGAACUCCCUAGCAUGCAUCCAUUCUAGGAAAAAGUCCACAAUGAAACUGACAUUAAAUGUAGAGAAUGAUACAUUUGCAUCUUCAGGCUACUGAAGCCUACCAUGUUAUACAAUAAAUAUGUUGAAAUGACGAUAUCACUGGAGUCAUUGCAAAUCAAUUUGUGCCACUUGUGUAGCCUACCUGGAGCUGACAAAUGGAUUUAAUCAGUGGUGGAAUAAGUAGGUUCCCCAAAUGCCAUACUUGAGUAAAAGUAAAGAUACCUUAAUAGAAAAUGACUCAAGUAAAAGUGAAAGUUAUCCAGUAA
ensembl:lncRNA